rnacentral:snoRNA from 10 species
CCCAGCGGUUGUCAGCUAUCCAGGCCAGCAUGAUGCCUUGGAUGGUGUUACACUGUUGGAAGAGCAAACGCUGACCUUCUUGAGGUCUGGCUUCAAGCACUGUUUUGGUGUUGUGGCUGAUACUCUUGGGCAGUGUUUUGCACCUCUGAGAGUGGAGUAACUCCUCCUGUGGAGUUGGUCCUAGUCUGGGUGCAAACAAU